rnacentral:rRNA from 1 species
UACGUAGGGUGCAAGCGUUAAUCGGAAUUACUGGGCGUAAAGCGCGCGCAGGCGGCCUGUUAAGUCGGGUGUGAAAGGCUGCGGCUCAACCGCAGAGCGGCAUCCGAAACUGGCGGGCUUGAGUGCAGGAGAGGGAAGCGGAAUUCCCGGUGUAGCGGUGGAAUGCGUAGAGAUCGGGAGGAACACCAGUGGCGAAGGCGGCUUCCUGGCCUGUAACUGACGCUGAGGCGCGAAAGCGUGGGGAGCAAACAGG